rnacentral:sRNA from 1 species
AUCCUCUAGCUGCUGCGGGCAGAUAAAGUGUAUGUGUGCAUCCAUUCCCCCGGCCGUCAGAAUCUUGCCUUCACCUGCGAUCACCUCGGUGGGCGGACCGAUGAUAAUAUCCACGCCGGGCUGUGUAUCAGGAUUGCCAGCCUUGCCAAUCGCACAAAUCCGUCCAUUCUUCAGACCCACAUCUGCCUUGUAAAUCCCGGUGUGGUCCACGAUCAGCGCGUUUGUGAUCACAGUGUCAACGGCGCCACCGGCCCGACUGAUCUGCGAUUGCCCCAUCCCGUCGCGGAU